rnacentral:rRNA from 1 species
UGGGGAAUUUUGCGCAAUGGGCGAAAGCCUGACGCAGCAACGCCGCGUGAGUGAUGAAGGUCUUCGGAUCGUAAAGCUCUUUCGGCUGGGACGAAAACGGCCGGGUUAACAGCCCGGUCCUUGACGGUACCGGAAGAAGAAGCACCGGCUAACUCUGUGCCAGCAGCCGCGGUAAUACAGAGGGUGCAAGCGUUGUUCGGAAUUAUUGGGCGUAAAGCGCGUGUAGGCUGCGGAGCAUGUCGGGUGUGAAAGCCCUCGGCUUAACCGAGGAAGUGCGCCCGAAACUGCUCUGCUGGAGUGCUGGAGAGGGUAGCGGAAUUCCCGGUGUAGAGGUGAAAUUCGUAGAUAUCGGGAGGAACACCAGUGGCGAAGGCGGCUACCUGGACAGACACUGACGCUGAGACGCGAAAGCGUGGGGAGCAAACAGG